GGCGGAAUAGUUCAGUUUGGUUAGAACGUUGGAAUCAUAAUCCAAAUGUCGGGGGUUCAAGUCCCUCUUCCGUUA
rnacentral:tRNA from 1 species